UACGUAGGGGGCAAGCGUUGUUCGGAAUUACUGGGCGUAAAGGGCGCGUAGGCGGCAGGCCAAGUCGGGAGUGAAAGCCCGGGGCUCAACCCCGGAAUGUCUUUCGAAACUGGCCAGCUGGAGUGCGGAAGAGGCAACUGGAAUUCCCAGUGUAGCGGUGAAAUGCGUAGAUAUUGGGAAGAACACCUGAGGCGAAGGCGGGUUACUGGGCCGACACUGACGCUGAGGCGCGAAAGCCAGGGGAGCAAACGGG
rnacentral:rRNA from 1 species